CCAGGUCUUGACAUACUCGUGCUAUUCCUAGAGAUAGGAAGUUCCUUCGGGACACGGGAUACAGGUGGUGCAUGGUUGUCGUCAGCUCGUGUCGUGAGAUGUUGGGUUAAGUCCGCAACGAGCGCAACCCCUAUUGUUAGUUGCCAUCAUUAAGUUGGGCACUCUAACGAGACUGCCGGUGAUAAACCGGAGGAAGGUGGGGAUGACGUCAAAUCAUCAUGCCCCUUAUGACCUGGGCUACACACGUGCUACAAUGGAUGGUACAACGAGUCGCGAGACAGUGAUGUUUAGCUAAUCUCUUAAAACCAUUCUCAGUUCGGAUUGUAGGCUGCAACUCGCCUACAUGAAGUCGGAAUCGCUAGUAAUCGCGGAUCAGCACGCCGCGGUGAAUACGUUCCCGGGCCUUGUACACACCGCCCGUCACACCACGGGAGUUGGGAGUACCCGAAGUAGGUUGCCUAACCGCAAGGAGGGCGCUUCCUAAGGUAAGACCGAUGACUGGGGUGAAGUCGUAACAAGGUAGGCGUAGCGAG
rnacentral:rRNA from 1 species